UACGUAGGGUCCGAGCGUUGUCCGGAAUUAUUGGGCGUAAAGGGCUCGUAGGCGGUCUGUCGCGUCUGCUGUGAAAAUCCGGGGCUCAACCCCGGACUUGCAGUGGGUACGGGCAGACUAGAGUGUGGUAGGGGAGACUGGAAUUCCUGGUGUAGCGGUGAAAUGCGCAGAUAUCAGGAGGAACACCGAUGGCGAAGGCAGGUCUCUGGGCCACUACUGACGCUGAGAAGCGAAAGCAUGGGGAGCGAACAGG
rnacentral:rRNA from 1 species